rnacentral:rRNA from 1 species
GACGAACGCUGGCGGCGUGCUUAACACAUGCAAGUCGAACGGAAAGGCCCUGCUUUUGUGGGGUGCUCGAGUGGCGAACGGGUGAGUAACACGUGAGUAACCUGCCCUUGACUUUGGGAUAACUUCAGGAAACUGGGGCUAAUACCGGAUAGGAGCUCCUGCUGCAUGGUGGGGGUUGGAAAGUUUCGGCGGUUGGGGAUGGACUCGCGGCUUAUCAGCUUGUUGGUGGGGUAGUGGCUUACCAAGGCUUUGACGGGUAGCCGGCCUGAGAGGGUGACCGGCCACAUUGGGACUGAGAUACGGCCCAGACUCCUACGGGAGGCAGCAGUGGGGAAUAUUGCACAAUGGGCGGAAGCCUGAUGCAGCAACGCCGCGUGCGGGAUGACGGCCUUCGGGUUGUAAACCGCUUUCGCCUGAGACGAAGCGUGAGUGACGGUAAUGGAUGAAGAAGCACCGGCUAACUACGUG